rnacentral:rRNA from 1 species
UACGUAGGGCGCAAGCGUUUGUCCGGAAUUAUUGGGCGUAAAGAGCUCGUAGGCGGCUUGUCGCGUCGGACGUGAAAGCUCAGGGCUUAACCCUGAGUCUGCGUUCGAUACGGGCAGGCUAGAGGCAGGUAGGGGAGAACGGAAUUCCCGGUGUAGCGGUGAAAUGCGCAGAUAUCGGGGAGGAACACCGGUGGCGAAGGCGGUUCUCUGGGCCUGUACUGACGCUGAGGAGCGAAAGCGUGGGGAGCGAACAGG